CGUGGAUUGAUUUGUCUGGUUAAUUCCGAUAACGAACGGGACUCUAGCCUGCUAAAUAGUUCGCCGAUUGUCUAAUCUGUCGGCGUUAACUUCUUAGAGGGACAAGUGGCGUUUAGUCACACGAGAUUGAGCAAUAACAGGUCUGUGAUGCCCUUAGAUGUUCGGGGCCGCACGCGCGCUACACUGGCAAAAUCAACGUGCUUGUCCUUCCCCGAAAGGGGCGGGUAAACCGUUGAAAAUUUGCCGUGAUUGGGAUCGGAAAUUGCAAUUAUUUUCCGUGAACGAGGAAUUCCAAGUAAGUGCGAGUCAUCAGCUCGCGUUGAAUACGUCCCUGCCCUUUGUAC
rnacentral:rRNA from 1 species